UGCAAGUCGAACGGCAGCACAGGAUAGCUUGCUAUCCGGGUGGCGAGUGGCGGGCGGGUGAGUAACGCGUAGGAAUCUACCUUUUCGUGGGGGAUAACCCGGGGAAACUCGGGCUAAUACCGCAUACGCCCUACGGGGGAAAGCGGGGGACCUUCGGGCCUCGCGCGGAACGAUGAGCCUGCGUCCUAUCAGGUAGUUGGUGAGGUAAUGGCUCACCAAGCCGACGACGGGUAGCUGGUCUGAGAGGACGACCAGCCACACUGGGACUGAGACACGGCCCAGACUCCUACGGGAGGCAGCAGUGGGGAAUAUUGGACAAUGGGGGAAACCCUGAUCCAGCAAUACCGCGUGUGUGAAGAAGGCCUUCGGGUUGUAAAGCACUUUUAGCAGGAAAGAAAGGCCGUGCGCUAAUACCGCAUGGUUCUGACGUUACUUGCAGAA
rnacentral:rRNA from 1 species